rnacentral:rRNA from 1 species
GAUGAACGCUGGCGGCGUGCCUAAUACAUUCAAGUCGAGCGAACAGACGAGGAGCUUGCUCCUUUGACGUUAGCGGCGGACGGGUGAGUAACACGUGGGUAACCUACCUAUAAGACUGGGAUAACUUCGGGAAACCGGAGCUAAUACCGGAUAAUAUUUCGAACCGCAUGGUUCGAUAGUGAAAGAUGGCUUUGCUAUCACUUAUAGAUGGACCUGCGCCGUAUUAGCUAGUUGGUAAGGUAACGGCUUACCAAGGCAACGAUACGUAGCCGACCUGAGAGGGUGAUCGGCCACACUGGAACUGAGACACGGUCCAGACUCCUACGGGAGGCAGCAGUAGGGAAUCUUCCGCAAUGGGCGAAAGCCUGACGGAGCAACGCCGCGUGAGUGAUGAAGGUCUUCGGAUCGUAAAACUCUGUUAUUAGGGAAGAAUAAACGUGUAAGUAACUGUGCACGUCUUGACGGUACCUAAUCAGAAAGCCACGGCUAACUACGUG